CGAUAACGAACGAGACCUUAACCUACUAAAUAGUGCUGCUAGCAUUUGCUGGUAUAGACACUUCUUAGAGGGACUAUCGAUUUCAAGUCGAUGGAAGUUUGAGGCAAUAACAGGUCUGUGAUGCCCUUAGACGUUCUGGGCCGCACGCGCGCUACACUGACGGAGCCAGCGAGUAUAAACCUUGGCCGAGAGGUCUGGGAAAUCUUGUGAAGCUCCGUCGUGCUGGGGAUAGAGCAUUGUAAUUAUUGCUCUUCAACGAGGAAUUCCUAGUAAGGGCAAGUCAUCAGCUUGCGUUGAUUACAUCCCUGCCCUUUGUACACACCGCCCGUCGCUACUACCGAUUGAAUGGC
rnacentral:rRNA from 1 species